AGUGAACGCUGGCGGUAGGCCUAACACAUGCAAGUCGAACGGCAGCACAGUAAGGGCUUGCUCUUACGGGUGGCGAGUGGCGGACGGGUGAGGAAUACAUCGGAAUCUACUUUUUCGUGGGGGAUAACGUAGGGAAACUUACGCUAAUACCGCAUACGACCUACGGGUGAAAGCAGGGGAUCUUCGGACCUUGCGCGAUUGAAUGAGCCGAUGUCGGAUUAGCUAGUUGGCGGGGUAAAGGCCCACCAAGGCGACGAUCCGUAGCUGGUCUGAGAGGAUGAUCAGCCACACUGGAACUGAGACACGGUCCAGACUCCUACGGGAGGCAGCAGUGGGGAAUAUUGGACAAUGGGCGCAAGCCUGAUCCAGCCAUACCGCGUGGGUGAAGAAGGCCUUCGGGUUGUAAAGCCCUUUUGUUGGGAAAGAAAAGCAGCAGAUUAAUACCCCGCUGUUCUGACGGUACCCAAAGAAUAAGCACCGGCUAACUUCGUG
rnacentral:rRNA from 1 species